AGUGAACGCUGGCGGUAGGCCUAACACAUGCAAGUCGAACGGCAGCACAGUAAGAGCUUGCUCUUACGGGUGGCGAGUGGCGGACGGGUGAGGAAUACAUCGGAAUCUACUUUUUCGUGGGGGAUAACGUAGGGAAACUUACGCUAAUACCGCAUACGACCUACGGGUGAAAGCAGGGGAUCCUCGGACCUUGCGCGAUUGAAUGAGCCGAUGUCGGAUUAGCUAGUUGGCGGGGCAAAGGCCCACCAAGGCGACGAUCCGUAGCUGGUCUGAGAGGAUGAUCAGCCACACUGGAACUGAGACACGGUCCAGACUCCUACGGGAGGCAGCAGUGGGGAAUAUUGGACAAUGGGCGCAAGCCUGAUCCAGCCAUACCGCGUGGGUGAAGAAGGCCUUCGGGUUGUAAAGCCCUUUUGUUGGGAAAGAAAAGCAGCAGGUUAAUACCCCGCUGUUCUGACGGUACCCAAAGAAUAAGCACCGGCUAACUUCGUG
rnacentral:rRNA from 1 species